rnacentral:lncRNA from 1 species
CCUGCCCCUCUCCUGGAGCCCUACCUGCCCGAGUCUCCCUCUAGCUCGGCUUCCUACCUGUCCUGUGUCUCCCACUAGCCCGGCACCCUACCUGCUGUAUGUCUCCCUCCCGCCCUGCUAGCCUGCUUGCUACUCCACCCUUACCCCCCCAUCCCUGCACAGCACUUCCCUGGCGCCUUGCCUGCCCUGUGACUCACAGCGACUCCUGCCAGGCCGGGCUGCUCCCCGGUCUCCUUGCCAGACACACGUUCCGGACUGUGUUGUCCAGGCUUCAUCGGUCACGUCCUGCCCUGCACUGGCGAUUGCACCUAGAGUCAGUAUCCCGGAGCUGAAGAGCCUGGAAUUGCGCUUUUGCAAAUUCACCGCAAGUGAUGCCUCCCUCAAGUUUCGCCCUAUGGUUGAAGACCAAUCGUGUUCUAACCAUUGCCCUUCAAACAAUGCCUAAUUCCAGUGGGGUAGGGAUGGGAACCUUGCACCACGACUACAUCAGAGAGGAGGUCUUAUCUCAGUUAUUACUAUUAUUGUUAUUAUUAAUUUAUUCUCGGAUUAUUUUCAAAGCUUUUGUAUCAGUGGGGUGGUAUUUUACCUGUGGGGUGAGCUGAAGAAAGGAAAGGAAAAAAAACAAACAAACAAACAAAC